GGGUCCAUAGCUCAGUGGUAGAGCAUUUGACUGCAAAUCAAGAGGUCGCCGGUUCGAACCCGGUUGGGCCCU
rnacentral:tRNA from 2 species